GGAGUAAACAAACCAUUUGUGUGCCCAGAACUUGAUAAUUCUCAAAGGCUUCGGGGGUUAUGUAUUCAGUAACAUGCAUGUGACGCUUUGAUGGUCUCAUGUACUGGCCAAAUGUCAUUACAUCAACACCCGCUGCACGCACUUUUUCCAUUGUUCUAACAACUUGUUCGGGGGUUUCCCCACAGCCCAACAUUAUUGAAGUCUUUGUCAAUGUCCCAGCAGGGGCAUACUCCUUGGCCAUCUUCAGAACGUCCAUGGACUGCUUGAAGUUAGCACGAUGAUCUCGUACUACACUCUGAAGCUCUUCA